rnacentral:lncRNA from 1 species
GAGAUUCGAAUGGAGCUAUUUUAGUUUAUGAUGUAACAGAUGAAGAUUCUUUUCAGAAGGUAAAAAACUGGGUCAAAGAAUUACGGAAAAUGUUGGGAAAUGAAAUCUGUUUGUGUAUAGUUGGUAAUAAAAUAGACUUGGAAAAGGAGAGGCACGUCUCCAUUCAAGAAGCAGAAUCGUAUGCAGAGUCUGUGGGAGCAAAGCAUUACCAUACUUCUGCUAAACAAAACAAAGGCAUUGAGGAACUCUUUCUUGACCUUUGUAAAAAUUAGUGAAGAAGACACUGUGCAAACAAUCAGUGCCUGAAAGCACAGAAGGCUUGGUCACUAAGUCUUUCCAGCGUCAGGAUGAUGUGCUUAAGCUUUAAAAGGCAUGGCUUUCACAGAUGCACAUUAAAGUACUCCAUGAAU